CGUCGACCGGCGCACGGGUGAGUAACGCGUAUCCAACCUUCCCAUUACUGUGGGAUAACCUGCCGAAAGGCAGACUAAUACCGCAUAGUCUUCGAUGACGGCAUCAGAUUUGAAGUAAAGAUUUAUCGGUAAUGGAUGGGGAUGCGUCUGAUUAGCUUGUUGGCGGGGUAACGGCCCACCAAGGCGACGAUCAGUAGGGGUUCUGAGAGGAAGGUCCCCCACAUUGGAACUGAGACACGGUCCAAACUCCUACGGGAGGCAGCAGUA
rnacentral:rRNA from 1 species